rnacentral:rRNA from 1 species
CUAUUGGAGAGUUUGAUCCUGGCUCAGGACGAACGCUGGCGGCGUGCUUAACACAUGCAAGUCAAGGGGGCCCAGCAAUGGGCAACCGGCGAACGGGUGCGUAACACGUGAGCAACCUACCGAACUGUGGGGGAUAGCCGGCCUAACGGCCGAGUAAUACCGCAUACGCUUUCAGUGAGGC